GAUGAACGCUAGCGGCAGGCCUAAUACAUGCAAGUCGAGGGGCAGCACGAUCUUCGGAUUGGUGGCGACCGGCGCACGGGUGCGUAACGCGUAUGCAACCUACCCUUUACUACGGGAUAGCCCGGGGAAACUCGGAUUAAUACCGUAUGGUAUCACUUGAUGGCAUCUGAAGGUGAUUAAAGAUUUAUCGGUAAAGGAUGGGCAUGCGUAACAUUAGCUAGUUGGUGAGGUAACGGCUCACCAAGGCUGUGAUGUUUAGGGGUUCUGAGAGGAUGAUCCCCCACACUGGCACUGAGAUACGGGCCAGACUCCUACGGGAGGCAGCAGUAGGGAAUAUUGGUCAAUGGGCGAGAGCCUGAACCAGCCAUGCCGCGUGCAGGAAGACGGCCUUCUGGGUUGUAAACUGCUUUUAUCAGGGAACAAAAAGGUCCUGCGGGACAAAUUGCGUGUACCAGAAGAAUAAGGACCGGCUAACUCCGUGCCAGCAGCCGCGGUAAUACGGAGGGUCCAAGCGUUGUCCGGAUUUAUUGGGUUUAAAGGGUGCGUAGGCGGCCUUAUAAGUCAGUGGUGAAAUCCUCCAGCUCAACUGGAGAACUGCCAUUGAUACUGUAAGGCUUGAG
rnacentral:rRNA from 1 species